rnacentral:rRNA from 1 species
GUUAUAUGGUCAAGUGAAUAAGCGCAUACGGUGGAUGCCUUGGCGAUAAGAGGCGAUGAAGGACGUGGCAGCCUGCGAAAAGCGACGGGGAGCUGGCAACAAGCUUUGAUCCGUUGAUGUCCGAAUGGGGAAACCCGGCCGCAAGGUCAUCCCUUGACUGAAUACAUAGGUCUUGGGAAGCGAACGUGGGGAACUGAAACAUCUAAGUACCCACAGGAACAGAAAUCAACCGAGAUUCCCUCAGUAGUGGCGAGCGAACGGGGAAAAGCCAGUGCUCUUUAGCAUUUGAUCUAGUGGAAUGGUCUGGAAAGGCCAGCGAUAGAGGGUGAUAGCCCCGUACACGAAAGACAAAUGUGGAACUAGGUGCACGACAAGUAGGGCGGGACACGUGAAAUCCUGUCUGAAGAUGGGGGGACCAUCCUCCAAGGCUAAAUACUACUUAUCGACCGAUAGUGAACUAGUACCGUGAGGGAAAGGCGAAAAGAACCCCGGCGAGGGGAGUGAAAUAGAACCUGAAACCGUAUGCGUACAAGCAGUGGGAGCCCCUUCGUGGGGUGACUGCGUACCUUUUGUAUAAUGGGUCAGCGACUUACUUCUCAGUGGCGAGCUUAACCGAAUAGGGGAGGCGUAGCGAAAGCGAGUCUGAAUAGGGCGGUCAGUCGCUGGGAGUAGACCCGAAACCGGAGCGAGCGAU